GACGAACGCUGGCGGCGUGCUUAACACAUGCAAGUCGAACGGAAAGGCCCUGCUUUUGUGGGGUGCUCGAGUGGCGAACGGGUGAGUAACACGUGAGUAACCUGCCCUUGACUUUGGGAUAACUUCAGGAAACUGGGGCUAAUACCGGAUAGGAGCUCCUGCUGCAUGGUGGGGGUUGGAAAGUUUCGGCGGUUGGGGAUGGACUCGCGGCUUAUCAGCUUGUUGGUGGGGUAGUGGCUUACCAAGGCUUUGACGGGUAGCCGGCCUGGGAGGGUGGCCGGCCACAUUGGGACUGCGAUACGGAGCAGACUCCUACGGGAGGCAGCAGUGGGGAAUAUUGCACAAUGGGCGGAAGCCUGAUGCAGAAACGCCGCGUGCGGGAUGACGGCCUUCGGGGUGUAAACCGCUUUCGCCUGUGACGAAGCGUGAGUGACGGUAAUGGGUAAAGAAGCACCGGCUAACUACGUG
rnacentral:rRNA from 1 species